rnacentral:rRNA from 1 species
AUUGAACGCUGGCGGCAGGCCUAACACAUGCAAGUCGAACGAGUGGCGGACGGGUGAGUAAUGUCUGGGAAACUGCCUGAUGGAGGGGGAUAACUACUGGAAACGGUAGCUAAUACCGCAUACCAUCGGAUGUGCCCAGAUGGGAUUAGCUAGUAGGUGGGGUAACGGCUCACCUAGGCGACGAUCCCUAGCUGGUCUGUGAGGAUGACCAGCCACACUGGAACGGGGACACGGUCCAGAUUCCUAGGGGCGGCAGCAGUGGGGAAUAGUGCACAAGGGGCGCAAGCCGGAUGCAGCCAUGCCGCGUGGAUGAAGAAGGCCGUCGGGUUGUAAAGUACGUUCAGCGGGGAGGCGUUACCCGCAGAAGAAGCACCGGCUAACUCCGUGCCAGCCGCGGCGGUAAUAC